UACGUAGGGGGCAAGCGUUGUCCGGAUUUAUUGGGCGUAAAGAGCGUGUAGGCGGCCAUACAGGUCAGCUGUGAAAACUCGAGGCUCAACCUCGAGACGUCGGUUGAAACCGUAUGGCUAGAGUCCGGAAGAGGAGAGUGGAAUUCCCGGUGUAGCGGUGAAAUGCGCAGAUAUCGGGAAGAACACCCGUGGCGAAGGCGGCUCUCUGGGACGGUACUGACGCUGAGACGGCGAAAGCGUGGGGAGCCGAACAGG
rnacentral:rRNA from 1 species